GAAAGGGCAUUUGUCAUGGUGGAUGGGAUUCUGGGGGUUGCUUUUUCAGUGUUGCCUCUUCUUCUUUCUCAGAGAUGACCCAUAAGUUGGCCCAAAUGGACCGGUAGCCAAUGAGAAUGUCAGCCCUUCCAUAAGCCCGUCUCCGCAGAGCUACAGGCAUUUUCAGGCCUCAUCUAGCCUCCUCAUGGGAAAAGAGGAUCCUCAAAGAACUUACAGUCUAGAAUAAGAGGCAGACACAGAAAUAGAAAAUUUCAAGAUCAAAGAAUAAAGACUGAGAACAAUUCCAGAUAUUUGGACAUGAUCUUGAUGAGCCUUCGCCUUGCUUUUCUUCUGGAGAAUGUAAGUCACCAGCAGACAUGUACAUGACUUUUCAGUCUAUUUGCAAAACUCCAGGUGUUAGAGACAUUU
rnacentral:lncRNA from 1 species